rnacentral:lncRNA from 1 species
ACGAUUAGGUCAACUCUUAACCUAAUCGGGUCAAACCCAACUGAAUCCAAUUCAAUUGAACUUGAUCUAAAAAUAAUUAAUCAAUCAAAUUGAGUUAAUUAGCAAUCAAAUCACUAAUUAAAUCUCUCAUAAAUACUGUGUCCAAAUUCGAUGGACAAUCAGGCAUCAGAAUUCAUCGAUAUGUAACCCUGAUCGAAAAGUCCCAACCAGUGGGACUCUUGACCCCGGUACCCAUAAUGUGUGGAACUCAUGAUCAGAGAAUCCUGAUUCUCGAUCACUGAGUUUCAAAUAUGUAGGAUUCUACAUCAGCCAUCAGAUCAGAUAGGAACCUCUAAUGUGUGUGACCCCAC